GGAGGUGCGCACGGAGCGCGCAGCGCGGAGCUGCCGGGCGGCAGCCGCGGAGAGAGGAGCUGUCAGCGGCGCCUUCUCAUUUAUCAUUAGCCAGCCCUAAUCUUGCUCGCUGUCCUCCUUCGCCGUUCUGCUGAUGGCGGUUGGGGAAAUUAUUGUCAUUAUUAUUAAUAAUGCUAAUGAUAAUGAAGCCCAUCCCGUCUCACUGUGUUCAAGGUGAAUUUCAAGGGGAAGAGUGUGCGGGUUUUGUUUACGGGGAGGUCCAGGGGUAAGAAGUGCACGGUGUGGGUGUCCAUAGCCCUGUAGAGAGGGAGUGGGUAUCUGUCCAUUCAUAGAGAGGGGUGAAACGCGUGGUUUGGGUAUCUAUGUGCUUCUAUGGAGGGAUGGAACAUAUGGUUUGUGUAUCUGUACACUGAUGUAGAGGGAUGGAAGGCAGAUUGGGUAUCUAUACAUUUCUAUAGAGGGAUGGAACACAUGGUUUGGGUCUAUAUAUUGAUACAGAGGAGUGAAACGCAUGAAAUGGGCAUCUCUACAUUUAUAGAAAGGGACAAAGCACACGGAUUGGGUAUUUACGCAUUUAUAUAGAGAUGGAACGCAUGCUUUGUGCAUUCGUGUAUUUAUAUGAAGAGACGAAAAUCAUGGGUUGGGUCUCUGCGUUUAUACAGGGGGAUGAAACGCACCAUGUGGAUAUCUGCACUUACACAGAGGGAUGAAGCACACAACUGCGUAUCCACCUGUUCUAUGCACUCAGUGCCCCCCCGCCAUCGCCGCUCUCACCCAUCGCACCCCAUCCCCAUCUCAGGGCACCACACAGCAUAACCCAGGCUCAGCCCCUGAGGCAGAGACAGGAAAUCCUUUCUCCCUGCCCGGUGCUUUCCUACCAAGGGCAUGUGCCCUCCGUGGGAUAGCAACACAGACGGCUGCACCGCACUGCUGAGAUCAUUUGGGCGCCGCACGGCGCUGCGCCGCGCUCCUCAUAUUCCUUCCGACUGCAUCAGGAGAAACGCUUUGCUGAUUUUCUUCCUAUUUUUUUUUAUUCCUAAGGCCUAGGAGCUGCUGGGAAAAAUCUGCACGGCCGCUCCCCCCCCCCCUCCCCCGUGAUGUGCUGGGAAUGUCGGUGCCGUGAGCCGCGGCCCUUUCUCCUUUGCGCCGCACCGCUCUGUGUCCAUUACGUUAAUGGCAUUUCAUCCCAGUGCACUGAACUGCAGGAGUUCUCAAGGAAACACUCAAGAUCACAUGGCGAGGUCCCUUCCAAGCCAAGCCAUUCUAUGAUUCUAUGAUUCUAUGAGAAUUGCUGGGGCCGUUAGCGUUAGCAGCCCCAGACCCAUCACCCUGCCCUUCACAAUGAGAAAUAUGGCACAAUAUUACUCAAGGCUAAAAAAAAACCCACCAACAUAAUCCAUAUUUACCCGAAUUUCCCAUAUAUCUGCUUUAAACCCUUUGCAAUUCAAAUAAGAAUGGGGAUGUUGAAGGUCUGGCUGACAGCAGCCGGCAGCAGAGCAUCCCUUUAGAGCUGUGGGGCCAGGGCUGUGCUGGGCCGGGGCUGUGCUCCGACAGAUGGAUCUCCUUGGUUUUCUGUUGUCUUGGAGGUUUAUGGAGAGCAAAUAAAUUUGUGUAGCACUUGGAGGGGAAAAGUUGUGAUGUUGGUGCCUACUGAAAUCAUUUUCUGCUUUUUUAUUUUAUUUUAUGCAUCCCUCCUUAACAUCUUCCCUGCCAUGAUCCCAUUUCAGAACUCCGCAGGAGCGCAGACCCCGAGGAAGGGAAAUGCAAUCCCUGCUUUCCACUAAUGGGGAAACUGAGGAUCAGGGGUUCAGGGACCUUUUGGGGUUUUGUAUGCAGAGA